UACGUAGGGGGCAAGCGUUGUCCGGAUUUAUUGGGCGUAAAGCGCGCGUAGGCGGCGCGGUAUGUCGUGCGUGAAAUCUCCCGGCUUAACUGGGAGGGGCCGUGCGAAACUGCCGGGCUUGAGGUCAGAAGGGGAAAGUGGAAUUCCGGGUGUAGUGGUGGAAUACGUAGAUAUCCGGAGGAACACCAGCGGCGAAGGCGGCUUUCUGGUCUGAUACUGACGCUGAGGCGCGAAAGCUAGGGGAGCAAACAGG
rnacentral:rRNA from 1 species